rnacentral:rRNA from 1 species
GAUGAACGCUGGCGGCGUGCCUAAUACAUGCAAGUCGAGCGAACAGACGAGGAGCUUGCUCCUCUGACGUUAGCGGCGGACGGGUGAGUAACACGUGGAUACCUACCUAUAAGACUGGGAUAACUUCGGGAAACCGGAGCUAAUACCGGAAAAUAUAUUUAACCGCAUGGUUCAAUAGGGAAAGACGGGUUUGCUGGCACGUAUUGAUGGAUCCGCGCCGCAUUGGCUAGUUGGUAAGGUAACGGCUUACCAAGGCAACGAUGGGUAGCCGACCUGAGAGGGGGAUCGGCCACCCGGGAACUGAGACACGGUCAAUACUCCUACGGGAGGCAGCAGUAGGGAACCUGCCGCAAUGGGCGAAAGCUUGACGGAGCAACGCCGAGUGAGUGAUGAAGGUCUUCGGAUCGUAAAACUCUGUUAUUAGGGAAGAACAAAUGUGUAAGUAACUAUGCACGUCUUGACGGUACCUAAUCAGAAAGCCACGGCUAACUACGUG